CGCCAAUUGCCGUGGUGUACGCACACGUCAUUUUUACAGCGUUUACUUUUUUGUACCGUUUGGUAAUUUUUAAUUUUUUCUCCGUUUGUUUAAUUGUUUUAAAAUGAUUGACGGCGAGUCAGUGUAUGAUGUUUCUCCAGUCAAAAGAAACCCAAAAGGAAAGGUAAGCGUUUGUUUGAAUGAAUAGUUUUCUUAAUUACCUAGAACUCGAAUAUAAUAAUUGGAUACGCAAUAAAAAUACUUUUUGGUCAAUGUAAAUUUGAGUACGCAUACAACAAAGUAUUUUUUAAUGUUUAUUUUUAGCUUAUUGGUUCCCGUCAGAAAAUGAUAAUCAUGAAUCUAUACAAAACAAAAAUUGUUGAGCAACCAAACCUCAAAGUAAAAGAAGUGGCAUUGAUGAUCUCAUCACAAACAGGUGUAGGAAGAAAUACUGUCCAAUCGACAAUUUGCGACUACAAAAAUAAAGGUAUAAUAAAAUUUCCUAACAAAAAAAAGAUACGACAGUCUAUCAUACACAAAACUGAUGAUUUUGAGAAAGACGCUAUACGCCAAAAAGUUCAUAGUUUUUGGUUCGACGUGAGGUGCCUACGAUUGACAAAAUUUUGAAGACCGUAAACGAUGAUACAGGCCUAGGAAAUUAUUCACGAAGCACACUUCACCGACUUCCUAAAGAAAUUAAUUUUGUUUAUGCAAAGAGAGGGCGAAAUAGUGCUCUGAUCGAAAGUGACGACAUUGUUAGUUGAAGGAAUCGUUACCUGGAACAAAUUAGUAAAUUCCGAAAGGAAGGCCGGUCAAUAUAUUAUUUAGACGAGACUUGGGUCAAUGCGAGAGAGUGUACAAAUAAAACAUGGCAAGACACAACUGUCAAAUCGGUAUAAAUUAUAGUCCUAAAUCAGAUGCCCGCGAGUUACUGUUGUGGACUAAAAAAGGUACUUUGAGGGUAUACGAGGUCCCAGGUGAGCUACAAAGGUUUUCAAAUACCUUUUACCGAAAUGUUCUCCUUUUUCUUCCCU